rnacentral:rRNA from 1 species
UACAGAGGGUGCGAGCGUUAAUCGGAAUUACUGGGCGUAAAGCGUGCGUAGGUGGUUUGAUAAGUCGGAUGUGAAAGCCCUGGGCUUAACCUGGGAACGGCAUACGAAACUGUUGAACUCGAGUCGUGUAGAGGGAAGUGGAAUUUCCGGUGUAGCGGUGAAAUGCGUAGAUAUCGGAAAGAACACCAGUGGCGAAGGCGGCUUCCUGGGCACAGACUGACACUGAGGCACGAAAGCGUGGGGAGCAAACAGG